ensembl:lncRNA
CUUCUCGUAUUCAGAGUAAAUAUUGCGUGUUUUGUACUGAGGUGAAAAGGAACACAGUUUGUCCCAGACUUCAGCUACAAUGAAAAAGACACAAAGCUGGAAUUAUUCUGUGUCUUUGCUGCACAGCUGCCUCUUCUUCUCCCAUUCUCUCCCCCUCCCUCUCCUGUUUCUACUUCAAUCAUGAAACUGAUCAAUGAUCAGCUGAUCGGCUUUUCUCUCUUGUUUAUUUAUCGCCCACUUUGCGUCAGAAACAGGAAACUGGAUGUCGCGCUAAACAACAGCAGCACAUUUAAGCUUAAACAGCUGUUGUUAGAAUUUAUUUAAUAUUAGUUUCUAGUAUCAGCUGAUGUUUGCUGGAGCCACAGCUGUAAAAGCUGCUGGUCAUGAUAUCGGUUUGGAUAUCUGGUGAGAGGGAAACAUGCAGAUGAAACCAGGAGAUGUCCUUACUGAAUCAUCAGAGCUGAACAGGUGAUGGAGAAACAGGUUUACCUUUUAGGUGACAUGAAUGGGUUGAAGGGAAGUUAUGAACUGUUUCUGAGAGACAAAUAACACCAGGAUCCUUUUCUAUGUAGCUGACAGCUGGUAACUGUGCAGGGGCGGGUCUAGCAAAGUGUUGCCAGGGGGCCAGGUAGGGCAUUAACAGGGAGAGGGGGGCACAAAGAAAUACUUUUCUUUCUUAUUCUCAUUUAAAAUGUCUCGCUUUUAACAAAAAAUUAUCUGAAUCUUACAACAAACAUUUUCAUCUGAUGUAAAAUAUAUAGAAAUCCAUUAUUGUACAUAGUAAUUUUUUUAGGGUCCCAUCAUAAUUUCUUCAGAAGUAGCUAAGUACUGUAUAUGAUGCCAGUAUUUUCCCACAUUUUCUAGAUUCUGUACCAGUACUGUGUGUAAAAUGCCAUCAAAAAGUCAAUUAAGUUUUAUUCUUUCUCACCUGUCUUUCUGUCUCCUUUCACUUUUUAAAGGUUGCCAUGUUAGAAAAAAUAUUUUGCCCUGCCAUGCUGUUUAUUGAUGUGGCAAAUGAAUGGUUUAUGAAAAUAUAUCUAAAUCUGUCAUCAGUAAUCAGUAAUGAUCAUGUCUCACCUCUAGUCUUCUCUGUCUUAAUUUCAGGUUUUCACCAUGUGUUGUAGAUAGUUCAGGAGGUUAACUCGACCAAGCAGUCUACUUUCGGGUACUGUUUAGAAUACCAGAAUAGGGAGGAUGGUGUAGGUUUAAGUUUAUUAGACUGAUACAUAUAUACCAACAAGACAGUGUACAUCACUGUGACAACAGUGUUUGUUUUCAUUCAAAGGAUUUAUGGUUUUUCCUAUAAUACCUGGUGGGCCGGUCUCUAGUCAAAAUGCCCGGGCCGAUUUUUUGUCCCAGUCCAGCCCUGAAGACACCGUAAGAGCUAGGAGCAAAACAAAACCAACAAUAUUAAUACCAUAACAUCAAAAGAAACAAAUUUCUCCUGCUCACAUAUAGCAUAUACAUCAAAUUUACAUCACUCAAUUCAUUAUAUCACCUCACUAACUUACAACUACACAUAAAGGUCACGGUCAAGGUUAACAACACAUUAACUCUAUUAAACGACAUUUUGAUUGCACGUAACUUGUUCCGUUAAAGGAAACAUUAACUAACCUUGUGCCACUGUCAACCAGGUACUAAUUGGCAAAGGAAACGUACAUAUUUUUCACUUUAAGGCACACUAUUUAUUGUAUCCUAAAACAAACGUUACUAACAAGCCCUUUAAUGGUUUUGCGCCAGUUUCCUGUUUCAAAAUAAAAGCAUGGAUUUCAAAAUAAAACCGAAGUACCUUUAAAACAAACGUAAAAUUUUUUACCAAAUUUAAAGGUCAUUUACAUACACACAUUAAAAUUACGCUAAAAAUUACGAUUAUAAAUAUAUAUAUAUAUAUAUAUAUAUAUAUAUAUAUAUAUAUAUACACACACAUAUAUAUACACACAUAUAUAUAUAUAUAUACAUAUACAUAAACACUCUUACUUCUUAAUAUUUUCUUCCAAAGAAAACAGGAAAACAAAAGUCACCAUAAAUGUGAAAUCUUGUCACUUAACAGGAGCAGACACGGUGAAGAGCUUUUCUGGGUGGAGGAAGAAAAAGGUCAAACUUCCCGAUGCAAUCCCACGGUUUCUAUGGGAAACUAAAAGGAUACAGGGAAGAAGAAGAGAAAAAAGAGGAGGGGUGGGUGUAACAGAAAAAAGCUUCUUCAGUUCUAAGAGCAAAUCUUGGACUCCCCACUAUUUCCUCUUAGAAAUGAUGAAGCUUCUCAGAUGAGGUGAAACAUCUUCAAGAAAUUUAAAGAAGUCCAGAUGCUUUUCUUUCCAAGCUCCUUAGACUAAGAAAAAAAAACACUCGAGCACUGAUAAGAUGGAGCAGCUGUACUCGCUGAGCCUCUGCUCCAGAGAGGACUGCGUCAAGAUCCUCGUCAAAUACCAGUGGAACCUGCAGAUGGCCAGCCGCUAUCUAAUCCGACUGACUGCCAGCGACAGGGCCAGCCCACCUGAGAGGGAUCGGUCUCUGAUCAGCCCGGAAAGAAGGGUCUAAAGAGAUUUGAGGCGGCCACUGUGGCUGACUUUUUCCACACCAUCCUGGUGUAACAGUGACACACUCCAACACUUGGAGCCCCUCGACUACAGGAGCGCUCCCGUGCACAUGGAAGUAGAAAAAUGAAGGUGGACAAAGACAAAACUGACUAAUAUUUUUGAAACAACUUAGAAGAAAGAUGUGACAAGAUGACAUGAUGUGGUUUUAUAUAGCACGUCUUUUGCACAUAGGUUUUCUAUUUUAAUACAUUUGUACAUACUGUAGGAAAAACUUUGUUAAAUAAAACUGAUCUCUA